rnacentral:lncRNA from 1 species
CAAACGUCCUCUUCGCCUUGGAAGGGGGCAAACAAAAUCCAUAUUUCAACUCCAUUUUCUCACUGGGAGGAGAGAGGGGCAGGUACCAGUAAGAUAAGACAGAAAAUGAAGAAAGGAGAUAAGAGAAAAAAAAAGAUGUCUGACUAAAUGAGCUAUCUCUGGAGGGUCUUGAAGAAAGAAGAAAUUCUGUAUUAUCCAAACAGAUGGUUAUGAGGAUCUACUUUCAACCUUCCACGUUAUGUGCUGUGAAUCAAGUCUUCACCCUACCAUUUAUCCAUUGUCUCCAAGAGCUUUUGAUAUAUCAGGAAAUAGGGAAGCCCUACAUAUGGAAAAGUGUAAGGAUUGUAGUGGUGAGAUGUGUGUUCCAGACUCUCUGGAUUCAAAUCCCAGCUCUGCUACUCAUAGCAGAUAUAGGAAAUAUUAAUAUUUAUACCACCCAUGGGACACUGGGGUAUGGCUGCUUCUAGCAGGAGGUCAUCAGCCAGCCUCCCAGGAGGUUCAGCUCCCAGGCUCCGUCCAGCUGCCCAGUGGCUGAGGCUCAGCAUCUCCACUGCCUGUAACCUACUCACGGCACACUGCACCCACGGCACACAGCACCCGGGCACCGCUCACGGCACAGAGCACCUGGGCACGGUGGCUGGGAGGCUCUGACCUCUGCAGCAGACACAGAGCUCCACUUCUUAUUCUCUGUUAAUUGGCAGUACAUGCUGCCCAUGCAUAAACAAUCAAAGUUAAACCGAGAAAAGAUGGAUACACAUGGAGCUGCUACCGAUUGGGAAAGGAUUUGGUUAUUUUAUUAUUUCAUAAUGCUGAGCUGUGAUGGACCUGACGACAUCUGAGAAAAAAAAAAUUGCCCAAAUGAAAAAAUAAAUAG